UUGAACGCUGGCGGCAUGCUUUACACAUGCAAGUCGAACGGCAGCGCGGGCUUCGGCCUGGCGGCGAGUGGCGAACGGGUGAGUAAUGCAUCGGAACGUGCCCAGUAGUGGGGGAUAGCCCGGCGAAAGCCGGAUUAAUACCGCAUACGACCUGAGGGUGAAAGCGGGGGACCGAAAGGCCUCGCGCUAUUGGAGCGGCCGAUGUCGGAUUAGCUAAUUGGUGGGGUAAAGGCUUACCAAGGCGACGAUCCGUAGCUGGUCUGAGAGGACGACCAGCCACACUGGGACUGAGACACGGCCCAGACUCCUACGGGAGGCAGCAGUGGGGAAUUUUGGACAAUGGGGGCAACCCUGAUCCAGCCAUGCCGCGUGCGGGAAGAAGGCCUUCGGGUUGUAAACCGCUUUUGUUCGGGAAGAAAUCCUCUGGGCUAAUACCCCGGGGGGAUGACGGUACCGGAAGAAUAAGCACCGGCUAACUACGU
rnacentral:rRNA from 1 species